CAUAUGGAGGUUCCCAGGCUAGGGGUCUAAUCAGAGCUGCAGCUGUCGGCCUACACCACAGCCACAGCAACACGGGAUCGGAGCAGCAUCUGCGACCUACACCGCAGCUCAUGGCAACCCCAGAUCCUUAACCCACUGAGCAAAGCCAGGGAUUAUAAACCACAUAUUCAUGGAUCCUUAACUGCUGAGCCACAGUGGGAACUCCCUCCCAGCUCUUCUCUUAAGAGACCACCUUAUCUGGGCAGAGGAAGAUAAGGAAAUAGGGGGUUUAGGUGACCUAAGAAGGAAAUCAGACCUGGAACCCAGGAAUGAAACUGCAGGGGGUUGAGGUGACCUCAGCUCUGGGAGAGACAGGAGAGGGGGCCCACCCUCUCAAGCACCCAAAGGCCCCUCACCAUCCCCCCCAGCCCUGUGCACGCACCUCGGUUGACACAGCUGUAAUUGGGCUGACAUCACCAACAACACUGCCUUUGGUGGAGAGAGAAAGUGCUCAGAUAGCAAAUGUCACUGCUGAGCUAUCCCAGGAAUGACAGCUAGAGGCGGUGGCGGCGGCGGGGGGAAGAAUGGGUUUAAAUCUCUGCUCUAUUGCUGUCCAGUCGCCUUAAGUUACUCAGCCAUUCGAUGCCUCAGUUUCCUUACUGUAAAAUGGGGGAAGAACAAUACUAAUCUUCACAGGCCAGGGGGUGCAAAGGGCUUUGCACUAGGCCUGGGAGACGGUUCAUACUCACUGUCAGCCACCUUUCCCACCCAAAUUCCAGUAUCUUGGUACCUUUGAAAGUAGUUAAAAUUCUGACAUGUUGAUUCCUUUAAGAUUCUGAGCAUGCUCCUAAGUGAGUCCAUUUACAUGGCAAAAGCUGCUCCAUGUGUUCCUCAAAAGGGGCAGAGGUAGACAAGGCCAGGUAAGGCUGGAACACGCUCACCCCAGAGCCUCAUUCUACUCCUGGGAGCUUAAGGGCAGGUAAUGCACAGGUGGGCCUGCGUGACAGGAGCCCCAGUGAGCAGCAGAGCAAGACGAACCAGGACAGCUAUUCCGAUGUCAGGUGGGCUACCAACCAUCCAAGAAAUCAGCUGACUAUAACUUAUUAAAGAAAUAACAGCAGUGAACACUGCCAAGACAUUUAUCACGUGCCAGCCAUCGCUUCAGAUGCUUUAUACAUAUCACGUCACUUCAUCCUCAUUAAGAAAAAGCAAUGAGAGAGGCCCUAGCACUACGCCCCUCUCACAGAGGACAAGGAGGACAAGGAGCAGUCGCAAGGCACGCAGCUAGGAAACAGCAGAGCGAGGAUUUGAACCUAGGUAGUUUAACUGCUGAGUCCACACUCCACCCUAUGGCUCUGUUACCUCUGGAUGACUGAGGGCUUUGGGGCACCUACUGGGAGCCAGGCCAGCGCUGACCAUCCUGGUGUGAGGAUUCUCAUUCAUACGAAAACCCAGAGGCUCAGCUCACCCUGCUGGUCAGGCCAGAGCCAACUUAAAAAACCCAGGAGGGCCUGGUGCCCCUUGCUGGAUUUGACCUUGUAGGUGGGUUUGACCCCGGCCCCAAACCCACAGUUCAGACAGGUACCCUCCCCAGCGUACGAACAGACGCAUCACUGGCACACCGAACACAAAGCCAGGUGAGGCUCUGCCACCGGCCAGAAGGCCCGAGGAGACCAGCAGAACCCGGGAGAGAAUCCUCCAGCCGACCCCCUUCCCCGGCACCGCCUCCUCCUCGGGGGCCCGGCCGCCACAUCCCGCUCCCUCCUACCUGUCCACAGAAAGAACCAGAGCAAGAGCCACAGCGGGGUCCCCAUGGCGGGAGCUCUGCGUAUCUAGCCUUCUGAUGUAAGAGCUCGCAGCAGAGAGCUACGCGUGGGCCCUUGCAUGAGGCCCGAUCUCGUUCACACACAGAGUUCAGCGGCUAGUGGUGAGCUCAGAGAGGUGCACUGGGCGCGACAGAGCAGAGGCACAAGCAGCCCAACGGCUGGGCAGGACCACGCACAUCUCCCGUUCCCAGGGAGGCUGGUUCUCCCAUGGCCUGUUUCCACGAGACGCAGAUAUUCUAAUUCACCGUCCAGGUGGAGGAGAGCUCGCCUGCACAGAGGGCCAUCUGGCAAAAUCCUACAGGGCUCUGGAUCUCCUGCCUACCAGUCUUUGCAGCCAGCCCCGACUGAGGACCGUGCAGGUCCGGACCCUUCACGAGACAGCUCAACCCCCCUUAAACCACAAAAUCCAAGAAUGUUCCAUGACGAGAAAGACCCUUCAAGACUGUCUCACACCUAUGGAUGGUACUGGACCAAAAACCUCAGGUCCAAGGAGGGGCAGCGACUUGGUCAAAACCAGGGAGAAAGUCAGAAGGUGGUGCCAGGGCAGAACCCAAGCCCCCCGGGCUCCCGUCCAGGGCUCUUUCCCCCUUUAUGGAGAGUAUGAGGCUUGAGUUCCACCUGCUGUGUGGACAAGAAGCUUGGCUGGGCUCCCAGUCCCCUAUUUUGAUUUUGCAAAUCAGGGAGUAAUUAAAGCAGUUUAUAAAUGCUACCUCAUCUCACUGGAGGAGGGAGGUGUUCGUACCUUCCCCACGUGGGGGUGAGAGUCACACACAGAGAUAAAGUAACCGUCAGCGGCAGGAUGUGAACGCAGGCAGUAUUACUCCACGUGCAGGCCCGGGACCGUUAGCCCCUUGGCCUCUGUGACGGCAGCCCCUGGCGGGGGGACAGCUGCUCUCUAGAGGAGCCAGGCCUCAGCCAAGUCCAGGGCUGCUCCCGUCCCAGCAGCUCCCCAGGACUCGCCCAGGAAAUGCAGGGGGCAGAUCCACUGCGCAGGAUGCAAGUCGGGGACCAGGCAGAGAAUGGAGCCAGUGUUCACCGGGAACUCCUAUGGGGCCUGGAGGGUGGGGGGACCAGAGCUUAGAGUCUGGGAGGGCAGCUUUGCCAAGGCUGAGGCCUGUGGCUCCUCCCAAGGCUCAGCCUCCCCCUCCCCCGUGCCCUCUGCCCCUAAGAGCAGAGGAGGGGCCACUAGCUGCAGCAUCAGGGCCCUGACCCCUGCGGGGGGUGAUUGUGCAUUCUUGGGUGGCCUCCCCGAGGCUCGAGCACUAGAGUUUUCUUCCUGAAAAAGGAAGC
ensembl:lncRNA